rnacentral:lncRNA from 1 species
CUUGCAGUGAGCCGCGAUUGCGCCACUGCCACUCCAGCCUGGGCGAUAGAGCGAGACUUCCUACUCAAAAAUAAAAAAAAAAAAAAAAAGAAUCCUGCUCCAAAUUGAAACAGUAACACGCAUCCAUGAGCUAGGACAGGGAAGAGAAUGACAAGGACUCUAAACCACCUGGCAGUGAAAUUUCCAAUGGAAAGGAGACCCGCUGGACCCCUUGGUGCUGGGGGUGGAGUCAGAGAGGGCAGCACUCCUGGAGACUCAGAUCGGUUUUCAGGUUGUUGCCCCAGCACCAAGCCGAGAAGUGAGCAAGGAGGAUUUGAAGCAUCAAGUCCACACCGAGGUGUGCUCAGUGGGAAAUCCCUCAGCCCUGACCAGCCAGCAAUUCCAAGACCCAGGGGUGAAGGGAGGUGCAGAUGCUGCUGUCUCUUGGAGCCUGCACCUCGGCAGAGGCUGAUUCCAGCUUGCAGUUCUCCACUACUUGCAGUUUGCAGCAGGAGACAGAUGGUCCUCUUGACAGUUGGAACCAUUGGGCCUCUUUCCAAAAGUGUGGGCUGUGUUUAGAGAAACUAACAAGGAGAGGAAUCACCCUGCGGCUAGCAAUAAUGGUCAUGGAGGACAUUCAGGACUUGAACACUUACAAAAUCACCUUUGAAGUGGAGCCCUGUGUGUGCUGAGACCACUAGGACCCUGGAACAGGUGCCCGUCACACAGAGAGACUGUCAGCUUCAGAGGCUGGAAAUGGAAAUCCCAGGCCUACUUCAGGAGGGGAAAGCACAGACCCUCUGGGAGGCCAAGCUCCGGGGUGACCUUGUACACGGGAAUCUCCUGGAGUGAGGAUGUCCUCUUUUCUGAUACCCAUAGAACUGGCAUUUAAGGGGAUGCUUGUGCAGUAUAGAGAAGGAUGGAGCCUCAGAAAUAGCCCUUUUGGAUCAACCACGUCUCUAGUUUCUAUAAAUGGAAGCUUAACCUUUGCCCUGCAUGUGUAUGCCAGAUCCACCUUGUUCUGGACAACCCUGUGACGUGCCUGAGUCACCCAGCCUUGGCUCUUCCCUGCUCACUGCCUCCUCUCCCUCAGGGAGGAGUCAUCCUCCCAGGAGUGUGCUUUUCAAAUAAAAACCAACCAAUCCAGAGUCCACUCCCAACCACCUUACUAACUGGGCUGUCACACUCCAGGCCACCGUCCUCCUGCCCUAAUCACCACAGGGCCAGGUACCAGACAACCAAGGACAGCACUUGUGCCCCAGAGCCUGUGGAGAUUACCUACUCACCCUGCCUCGCCCAUUCCUUCCUGCAGAAAACACGACUCAGACUCUUGCCCACAGUUUCCCAGCCCCUCUGCUUUGUGACUGAUGCUGGUGCCUCCCCAUGUGGCCCCACCAUGGUGUCAUGGGGGCUCCCUCUCUUGGGACCUGUGGGCAUGAUAAGUUAUGUUUUCAAUAGCAGUCAUCUCCUGAUCUUAGCCUCAUCAUACCUAAAGAAUAAUAAAACCCAUUGAAACACCUUCAACUCAAUGGGACAGACCGGCCCAUUGGAAUCAUUCAGACUUGCAGACAUUUUGUUCAUGCUGUGCGCACUUCUUCCAGGUUCUCUGUUCCGCAGUGGAAAGAGCAGGGCUGAAAUUCACACACCUGACUUCAAAUCCUCCUUCUAUCACUUACUAGCA